UCCCUGGUAGUCCAGUGGUUAGGAUUCCAUGCUUUCGCUGCCAGGGCCCAGGUUCAAUCCCUGGUCAGGGAA